rnacentral:rRNA from 1 species
AUUGAACGCUGGCGGCAUGCUUUACACAUGCAAGUCGAACGGCAGCACGGACUUCGGUCUGGUGGCGAGUGGCGAACGGGUGAGUAAUACAUCGGAACGUACCCAGUAAUGGGGGAUAACUAUCCGAAAGGAUAGCUAAUACCGCAUACGCCCUACGGAGGAAAGAGGGGGAUCGCAAGACCUCUUGUUAUUGGAGCGGCCGAUGGCUGAUUAGCUAGUUGGUAGGGUAAAGGCCUACCAAGGCAACGAUCAGUAGCGGGUCUUAGAGGACGAUCCGCCACACGGGACCUGAGACACGGUCCAGACUCCUACGGGAGGCAGCAGUGUGGAAUCUUGGACAAUGGGCGCAAGCCUGAUCCAGCAAUGCCGCGUGCGUGAAGAAUGCCUUCGGGUUGUAAAGCGCUUUUGUCAGGGAGCAAAUCCUUGUGGCUAAUACCCACCGGGGAUGAGAGUACCUGAAGAAUAAGGACCGGCUAACUACGUGCCAGCCGCCGCCGUAA